UUGCUUUAGUAGCAUAUUUACUUAAAUUGGAACAAUACAGGAAAAAUUAGCAUAAACCCAUACAGGGAUAACAAGUAAGUUUGUGAAGCAUUCCACAUUUUU